rnacentral:lncRNA from 1 species
AGAGGUGGCAUGUGACACAGGUCUGGCCAAUCAGAGCGUUGGAUUUUCCUGGCCGCGGUGAUUGGCUCAGGGAUGGGGACAUAACCCAAUCAGAGCCAAUAAGAAGCAGGGAGCGUUUAGCGGGGGCUGCUGGGAAGGAGCAUUUAAACCUGAAGGGGGGCUAAGGUCUGCAAUGGCCCAAGGGGAAGGUGAUGCUGUGCGACGGGCCUUGCGUGUGACUGGAGCCAGCACAGGGGAGAGGGAGUGAGCUGGAGAGAGAGGAGCUGGGUCGUGGUAACACGGAUUGGACGCCUGGGUUGCAGGAGCCAGAGAAUCCCAUCUUAUUAAGCCACCCCCGGGCCCUAAGGGACACGUGGGAGGGGUGGUGCUGGAAUUCUGAGACUCAUUUAGCAAAGCAUCCGGUUGUCAUCACCCCCGAUAGACUGGCUUCUUGGAAAAGACACAUUCGGUGUAAUUCAACCAGGAUGGAACAGGGACCUGCUUUCCUUGUAGGGCGUGGGUUCCACUGGCCCCCGCCCCCCCUGAGGGGACUCAUUUGAGAGUUGCCAGAUUUAGCAAACAAAAUACAGGACUUCUCCUUAAACUUGAAGUUCAGAUUUUUUGGGAGACGGGUCCUUCGCAAGGAUGGCUGCGACAGUGGCUCGAAGGCUUUGCAUCGUCUCCAGGAGCGUCUGGCGCAGGUGACGGACGGAUGGCUAGCCCCAGCUGACGGAGAAGAAAGACACGGACAGAUCUGCCGUCUUCCUGCAGGUAAGUGCUGGGAGGUUGCUUCUGCUGCGCGUCGGUGGAAUCUGCACGGGGCCGGGCAUGGCGUCGAGAGGAGGAACCGAGCGGUGGAUGGCCGGGCUGGCAUCUGGGCACAAGCAGAGUCCCAAGGGGAGUAUGGGUCCCAGGUACCUGGGGUCCCAGGUCCACAGCAGGUGAGUUGACAGGGAGUGCGGUAAGGGGCAGGGGCAGCGAGUGUCUCAGUAUGCACCCCUGCUCCUG